UACGGAGGGCGCGAGCGUUGUCCGGAAUCACUGGGCGUAAAGGGCGCGUAGGCGGCCCGUCAAGUUGCUGGUGAAAUCCCGGGGCUCAACUCCGGGGCUGCCGGCAAGACUGUCGGGCUCGAGCACGGUAGAGGCAGAUGGAAUUCCCGGUGUAGCGGUGGAAUGCGUAGAGAUCGGGAAGAACACCAGUGGCGAAGGCGGUCUGCUGGGCCGUUGCUGACGCUGAGGCGCGACAGCGUGGGGAGCAAACAGG
rnacentral:rRNA from 2 species